rnacentral:rRNA from 1 species
UACGUAGGGAGCAAGCGUUGUUCGGAAUUACUGGGCGUAAAGGGCGCGUAGGCGGUUCGUUAAGUCCUGUGUGAAAUCCCCCGGCUCAACUGGGGAACUGCACAGGAAACUAGCGGGCUUGAGUUCGGGAGAGGGAAGCGGAAUUCCGGGUGUAGCGGUGAAAUGCGUAGAUAUCCGGAGGAACACCGGUGGCGAAGGCGGCUUCCUGGACCGACACUGACGCUGAGGCGCGAAAGCUAGGGGAGCAAACGGG